rnacentral:lncRNA from 1 species
GCUCGAGCCCUAAACGAGCCGCUUGAAAUUCUUAAUAUCGUGCAAUCUAUAAUUUAAUUUUUAUAAAACAUUAUCUAAAAUUCGAUACAAAAAAUAUCUAAUAGUUCAACAUACAGAAUGAAUGCUGAAUACGAUAUUAUAAUAUUAAAAAAAAUUAGGAAAAGCGACUCUGUGAGCGAGUGAAAAAGAGAGAGAGGGAGCAAUUAUAGUAGGAUUUUGCCGGUUUGGUUUUGUGGGCCCAAUAAUCUAAAUUCUAUAUACAUAUAAUUAAAAUACAUAAUAUAUAUUAUUUUAUAUAAUUAAAAUAUAUAUUAUAUAUAAUCACAUAUAUAAUAAAAGGCGAACCCUCAACAUGCCACGCGUCGCCUCCGCAGCGAACCCCCGCCCUGCGGCGAGCUCUC